rnacentral:misc_RNA from 1 species
GAUGAAGAACGCAGCGAAAUGCGAUACGUAAUGUGAAUUGCAGAAUUCAGUGAAUCAUCGAAUCUUUGAACGCAUAUUGCGCUCUUUGGUAUUCCGAAGAGCAUGCUUGUUUGAGUAUCAGUAAACACCUCAAAGUCUUUUUUUUUCUUGAAGAAAAAGACCUUGGACUUGAGCAAUCCCAACUCUUCUUUCAGAAGAGGCGGGUUGCUUGAAAUGCAGGUGCAGCUGGACAUUCUCCUGAGCUAAAAGCAUAUUCAUUUAGUCCCGUCAAACGGAUUAUUACUUUUGCUGCAGCUGACAUAAAGGGAGUUUGACCAUUUUGGCUGACUGAUGCAGGAAUUUCACAAGAGUCUUCAAAACGCUCUUGUUAAACUCGAUCUCAAAUCAAGUAAGACUACCCGCUGAACUUAAGCAUAUCAAUAAGCGGAGGA